UGUCGCCGGAUGCCCCCAGUCGACUUGCUGCGGCUGCGACGCUCGUCCGUCCGCGACUCCUCGUCGUGCCACCGUCGCCUGCCCGGUUCGAACUCCAGAACCUCCUCCUCCGUGAGUGCUUCUCCACUGCCGUCCCCGACCUGCUAACCAAGUCUCCGGCCCCGGCCUCCAUCUGGUGCCUACACUUCAGGAUCAAGGCGAUCAAGGAGGGAUUGCAUGUGGAUCAGGAUGCUGUGCAGUGCUUAACUGCUUAUGUUGGACCGGUCACCGGUGCCUAGCAUGCUCUGGUACACCGUGGUCCAUGGCUCGGAAAUUCAGUCAUGGUUAGCUCAUUCCUCUUCAGUUUCCGGAAAUUUGGUUCUUACUGAAAUUUCGGCUACCUGGCUGAAUUUAAUCUGCUGCAAAGCUUUUAGGUUUCAUUA